rnacentral:lncRNA from 1 species
UUAUAAAUGACAUACAUACUGUUUUUCUUUUUGUAUGAUCUCAUUUUAUGCACUUGCCUUCCCUUUCAAAAUUUCCACCCCAAACUUAUUUUCAUUGCACAUCUUGCAAUUCACACAAUCAUACCGAGUUAUGACACAAAAGGGAAUGGAUAAUAAAAAGUUAACAUGGAUUUAUGAGGAAUAAUGCUUGACGUUAGCAUGGGGUUUACAAUGAACAAAUGGCUAAGGCUCAACGGGGUUUUACGAAGGGAAACAUGCAUAUAGGGAUGGCUAGAAAGGCCCUGGCUACACAAACAACUUGCCUCAGUGUGUGUUAUCAUGCUGUGACGUGUCAACAGAACAUACGCAAAAUCAGAGUGAUAAAGUUAUACCUGGCUGACCUCUCAUGUUGAUGUUUCGUGUUUGGCUUUUUGUGACCUCACCAUGUUGGUUAGCUUGCAAGCUCUGAAGUCUCUUCGUGUUAUGUGGUUCUUUCCUGACUUGGUCUUUCCCUACCGCUUUCUUGGUCCGGUGUUCCCAGAAUGUGUCCGACUUUCCUUUCUCAAGGUUGCAUCAACUUCCGGGGCGCCUUAUCAGCCUCAGUUUGAGGGGUGUCAUUCAUCCACUAUCAUUGACUCCGGACUCGUCCACUGUUUCUCAUCACCCUGUACAUACAGUAAAUCCAACAACCAAAAAUAGAAAACAAAAACAAACAAAACAAAGAUAACAUAAUAACGAUAAACAAAGAUAACAUAAUAGCGAUAAAACAAUAAAAUAAA